rnacentral:rRNA from 1 species
CAGUCGAACGGUAACGGGCCCGCAAGGGUGCCGACGAGUGGCGGACGGGUGAGGAAUACAUCGGAAUCUACCCGGUCGUGGGGGAUAACGUAGGGAAACUUACGCUAAUACCGCAUGAGACCGAGAGGUGAAAGCGGGGGAUCGCAAGACCUCGCGCGAUUGGAUGAGCCGAUGUCGGAUUAGCUAGUUGGUGGGGUAAAGGCCUACCAAGGCGACGAUCCGUAGCUGGUCUGAGAGGAUGAUCAGCCACACUGGGACUGAGACACGGCCCAGACUCCUACGGGAGGCAGCAGUGGGGAAUAUUGGACAAUGGGGGCAACCCUGAUCCAGCAAUGCCGCGUGUGUGAAGAAGGCCUUCGGGUUGUAAAGCACUUUUGUCCGGAACGAAACGUGUCGGGUGAAUAUCCCGGCAAACUGACGGUACCGGAAGAAUCAGCACCGGCUAACUUCGUGCCAGCAGCCGCGGUAAUACGAAGGGUGCAAGCGUUACUCGGAAUUACUGGGCGUAAAGCGUGCGUAGGUGGUUUUUUAAGUCCGUUGUGAAAGCCCUGGGCUCAACCUGGGAAUGGCAGUGGAUACUGGAAAGCUAGAGUGCGGUAGAGGGUAGUGGAAUUCCCGGUGUAGCAGUGAAAUGCGUAGAGAUCGGGAGGAACACCAGUGGCGAAGGCGGCUACCUGGACCAGCACUGACACUGAGGCACGAAAGCGUGGGGAGCAAACAGGAUUAGAUACCCUGGUAGUCCACGCCCUAAACGAUGCGAACUGGACGUUGGGAGCAACUUGGCUCUCAGUGUCGAAGCUAACGCGUUAAGUUCGCCGCCGGGGGAGUACGGUCGCAAGACUGAAACUCAAAGGAAUUGACGGGGGCCC